GGUAGAUGAUGGCGAUGAGUGGCAUGCAGAUGAUGAUGGAGAAGCACAGCAGGAUCUUCACCACCGCAUUCCUCCUCCGCCAUAUUGGAAGACCUUCAUGCCACACGGACGUCAGUAAUUGCUGGCAGUUGGGCUCUUACUUCACACCUCACCACCACCACCACCACCACACCACCACCACGACGACGACCAGCCACCACGACCUACCUGCUUCUGGUCGUACUUGAGUGCCAGCUUAAGCCUCGAGAGCUUCAGUUGCUGUGGGUCGUCGUCGUCGUCAUUGUCCGAGUCUUCCUCACUCCUUCUGUUCAGCACGGCGAUCACCUGCACAACGGCUGCCAGUAUGGGGUCCUCGGUGGUGAGGGAGAUCCAGGCAGGCGAGGCGAGGGCGCGGUAGGUGUGGAUGCGGCGGAGGGAGUACCGCAAGGAGUCUGCGUGGAAGCAUUCUGUGCACUGGCGGCAGGAGCAGGAGAGCGGGUGGGGCUUGUCGAUGUAAGCGCCUGACGGAGGUAAAGGUGUGGUGGUGAGGGCAAGAAUAGGCUCAUAGGUUGCAGUUUUAGUGAGGCUUGUUUAAAUGAUGGGGAUGACAGGUGAAAGAAAACAAUGACAAUGACAGAUAAGAGGGUAAAUGAUAAGCACAAUUGAAGAUGCUGUUUAAAAAAAAAAAAAAGUGAUAAUGUAAAGAGGAGAAAGAUGCGAUGUAGAGAAGUAAAAUAUGUGAAAUGUAAGCAGAAAUCAGUGAUAUGAUAUGAAAACAACAAUUCCAACACUAAUAACAAUAUCUACAGUAGUGAAGUGAGGGAAGACUAGCGCGGCGUUCCAGGAGUGAAUAGCAAGGAAGGACGAAAUAAAACCAUAGAAAAGAAAAAAUGGACUAGAAAAAUGGCGUAGAUGAUCAAUUAUGAAUACAAAACUAUAAGAAAGAAAGACUGUGGAAAAAAAAAAGUGAGGGAAGACUAGCGUGGCGUUCCAGGAGUGAAUGACAAGAAGGAACGAAAUAAAACCAUAGAAAAGAAGAAAAUGGACUAGAAAAAUGGCGUAGAUGAUCAAUUAUGAAUACAAAACUAUAAAAAAAGAAGAGGGGAAAAAACAUUGGCGUAGAGGCAGUGAACGAAAAAGGGAAUAGGGAAAUGGGGUAUUGAAGUAAAAGAACAGGGAGAGAGAGAAGACGACCGACGACUUCGGAGGGAAUGAAUGAUAAGGAAGUGAAGUGAAGGGUCGAGAUGGCGGAAAGGAAAGAUUAUCAUUAUUUUUUUUUCUCCUUUGUUUGGCAUAAUUAUCAGUUAACCAUUUAUCUUGUCGAACCUUGACACCCAAAAUAACUGCGUCAGGAAUCCUUAUCGCUAUAUCUUUCAAGGGUAUGUUGUAUCCGCCGGAAUGAAAAAAAGAAAAGGGGAACAGAGAAAAGCAGCGGUAUUAAAAGCAAAUAGACAAAGAAAAGAGAAAACAUCAACACUAAAGGUAGAGUAAUAAUUGAGAUGGGUCGAGGUUGAAGAGAGAGAGAGAGAGAGAGAGAGAGAGAGAGAGAGAGAGAGAGAGAGAGAGAGCAAGUAAUGGAUGAGGGAGCGACAAGGAAGGGAGAUCUCAAAAGAAGUGUGACUCAAUGGGAAAGGAGCAGAAAUCACGAAGGAAUAGGAGCGUGAGACAAGACAUUGGAAAAAGGCUAUAAGGAAAAAAAAAGUGUGUGAGAGAGAGAGAGAGAGAGAGAGAGAGAGAGAGAGAGAGAGAGAGAGAGAGAGAGAGAGAGAGAGAGAGAGAGAGCAGUCAACGGAAAUAGGUAAUACUCGAGUAAAUGGUAGUUCGUGGAAAGGUUUCUUCAAGUUUACGAGCACCUGUGAAGUGAGGUUGUUUCCAGGUACGUGUAGCUCUGAGGAUCACCUGUAUCUCUUACCGUUUCCCUUGCUCCUCCCGUUAACCACACAGCCGUACAUAAACUUUGAACUCGCCUACAAAAAAAAAAAAUAAUAAUAAUAAAUAAAUAAAUAAAUAAAUGAAAAAAAAAAAAAAACUGAGCUCCGAUUCACGCCCCACACCUCAUGGGUCCAAAAGUGAGGAACUCUUUACCACAAGAAAUCAAGAACAAUCCUAUAAUUUCUGCUGUUAAAUGUAAAGUUUAUGAUCAUCUUAUUAAAUGGCUUGAACUGUUUUCCUUCCCAGUGCAUUCUUUUGUUAUCCUCCUCUUAAGAGUGCUAGAAACUGAAGAGGUAUGUGACAGAUAGAGAAUUGAUACCAUUGAGUGUGUGAGUGAUUAAGUGAAUGAGUUUGUGGAAGGCUUUUAUAGUUUUAAGUAUGUGUAUGUACGUAUUAUGUCUCUUUGUAAUGUUAUUCAUGUUAUGGCCAUAGAAAACCUCAUUUUAUAGUGUGAUUUGUGUGCAUGUACAUAUAAUGCCCAAUUUCAUAGUUUCAGAUCAUUCUAUAUAAUAUUAACUUAUCUUGUGUUUAUAUUUUGACAAUGUAACAAACCUCUGAUUAAUUGUGUAAUAACCACUGCCAAAUGGAAAUAAAGGAUUUGAAUUUGAA
rnacentral:lncRNA from 1 species